GGUUUGUGGGUAUUACGACGUGUGCUACCGUGUGUUACCAGUUACCGUCCAGGGGUUCACAAAACCCAUGAAAAAACGCCUAGACGCCGAUACCUGCCCGACAACAUUUGUCUGUCCACUGAUUGCACGACGUGUAUAGUUUACCGGACGGCACAAUAUAGUAAUAAUAACAAUAAUGUACACACACCGUAAAAACGUUACUAAAUAACACGGUGUAGUCGUA